rnacentral:rRNA from 1 species
UACGGAGGGUGCAAACGUUGCUCGGAAUCAUUGGGCGUAAAGCGCACGUAGGCGGCGAAGCAAGUCGGGUGUGAAAGCCCUGGGCUCAACCCAGGAAGUGCAUUCGAAACUAUUUCGCUUGAAUCUCGGAGGGGGUCAGAGAAUUCCCGGUGUAGAGGUGAAAUUCGUAGAUAUCGGGAGGAAUACCAGUGGCGAAGGCGCUGACCUGGACGAAGAUUGACGCUGAGGUGCGAAAGUGCGGGGAGCAAACAGG